CGUUCGCACCUUCAGAAUCGAAAUAAUCCGACUGACCCGACCCGGACCCAGUCGAUCCGACCCGACUUUUCCGGCGAACUGCGGCGGUCUCCGGCGACGAAACUUUCCAGAUAGGAUCGUCUCCUCCGUCUGGUCGUCCCUCUGGUGUCCUCUAGCGCCGAUUCUCCUCCACGGCGGCGCUGCAAGGCGAUGCAGGUUGGUGUUUUCGGACCCGGUCGGAAUUCCUUGUUCCGACGUCGGCAAGGCUUCGAGUUUCCUUGGUUGGGCUCAGAGAAGCCUCGCCGAUCG
rnacentral:lncRNA from 1 species